AUUAUUUUGGCAGAUUUAGUGCAUUAAAAUUAGAAUUUAAUUAAGUAAUUAUAUAAUAUUACAAGUAAUA
rnacentral:tRNA from 1 species